AUUGAACGCUGGCGGCAUGCUUUACACAUGCGAGUCGAACGGUAACAGGCCUUCGGGUGCUGACGAGUGGCGAACGGGUGAGUAAUGCAUCGGAACGUACCCAGAGGUGGGGGAUAACGCAGCGAAAGCUGUGCUAAUACCGCAUGUGAUCUGAGGAUGAAAGCGGGGGACCGAGCAGCAAUGUUUGGCCUCGCGCCUUUGGAGCGGCCGAUGUCGGAUUAGCUAGUUGGUGGGGUAAAGGCCUACCAAGGCGACGAUCCGUAGCUGGUCUGAGAGGACGACCAGCCACACUGGGACUGAGACACGGCCCAGACUCCUACGGGAGGCAGCAGUGGGGAAUUUUGGACAAUGGGCGCAAGCCUGAUCCAGCAAUGCCGCGUGCGGGAAGAAGGCCUUCGGGUUGUAAACCGCUUUUGGCAGGAACGAAACGGUGUCCGCUAAUACCGGGCGCUAAUGACGGUACCUGCAGAAUAAGCACCGGCUAACUACGU
rnacentral:rRNA from 1 species